GAGGGUGUAGCUCAGUGGUAUAGAGUGCAUGCCUGUCAUGCACAAGAUGCUGGGUUCAAUCCCCAGUACCUCCA
rnacentral:tRNA from 1 species